rnacentral:rRNA from 1 species
CAGCCGCCGCGGGAAUACGGAGGGUGCAAGCGUUAAUCGGAAUUACUGGGCGUAAAGCGCACGCAGGCGGUCUGACAAGUCAGAUGUGAAAUCCCCGGGCUUAACCUGGGAACUGCAUUUGAAACUGUCAGGCUGGAGUCUUGUAGAGGGGGGUGGAAUUCCAGGUGUAGCGGUGAAAUGCGUAGAGAUCUGGAGGAAUACCGGUGGCGAAGGCGGCCCCCUGGGCCAAUACUGACGCUCAUGCACGAAAGCGUGGGGAGCAAACAGGAUUAGAUACCCCGGUAGUCCCUGUCUCUUAUAC